CCUUACCGGGGGGAACUUGCAGUUGACCCUGGAAGCCAGCAAGGCCGCGCUGCUGAGAUGGAGAGGAGGGAGCGCUCUGGGCACUAAGUAGAGUAGUAAUGUCUGGACGAACUCCUACAUCUUUGUACAGCCUACUACCACAACCACAAUUUAUUACAAAUCGAUUCCUCCCACCCGAACACAGAUUCAAUUUCACAGGUGGCAAACCCGAUCUGAAGAGCACAAAAUUAUCAAAUAAUUUAGCAGAUGAAAUAUCUCAAUUAUAUCGUAAUAAUUUAAUUGAGUGGUGAAGUAUGGCAAAACAACCUCCAUGACUCACACGUAACGGGGAGGCCAUCAUCCAGCAGUAAAUAAUAAAACACAAAGCGUGUUUGCACAGAUGUUAUAUUAAUAAUACAAUAUAACCGUAAUAGAGGUUUUUGGGUUAAAGCUGGGAAAGUGAGGUGAGAGGGGAGAGGUAGAGUGAACUGAAAGGAGGCAGUGAGAUGAUAAGGGAUAAGGGAGAGAGGUAGGAGAGUGCAGGAGAGUACAAUGAGAGGGGAGAGGUAGAGUGAGAUGACAGAGGUAGAGUGCGAUGAGAGGAGAGGUAGAGUGAUAUGAGAAUGAGAUGAGAGGGGAGCGGUAGAGUGAUAUGAGAGGUAGGAGAGUGAGAUGAGAGGGGAGAGUGAGAUGAGAGGGGAGAGUGAUAUGACAGGGGAGAGGUAGAGUGAGCUGAAAGUAGGCAGAGUGAGAUGAGAGGACUGUGCUGCUUCUGUAGAGUUAAACUUAUUAAAGUCCUCAACUCUCACCGUUUCGUCCCCGAGUGGCUGCGACUGCCGUCUCCUGCCUCAUCACCACCAGCUCUAUGCGUGGUGAAGUAUGGCCAAACAUCACCUGCGGCCCGCCCGCAGCAGCGUGGGGAGGCCCUCAUCCAGCAGUGGAUUGGCAAGUGCUGUACAUGUAGGCGAUGUCGUGUUCAUGAGCUCUGGGGAUUUAGUGCAAUGAGUGUGUCAACGUACGAUCAGUUGGACCAAUGGACGGGCCUCUGGAACAGAACCCGUUCGUAAGGCGGGGACUGGCUGACGGUGAGUUGCAAAUAAUGUAGCAUUAUGCAGCACAGGAUUAUUAAUUAUUGCACGGAUAAGGUGUCUAAUCUUUAUUUUAUUAUGAUAAAUUUGUAUCAUCACGUUUACAGGGCAUGGAAACGUGCCGUACUGCUCAGCAAGCAGCGACCCAGCCUGUGUGAUGAUGCUAAGUAUAAAAUUACGUAAAAAAAUUAUACUGGUAGGAACGAAGUGGACCAGCCUACAAUAGAUUAUAUCGUCCGUCCGUCCGUGUAGCAACAUCGCCCCCUACUGCAAACACUUGGCAUGACCCUACAAAAACCUUUAGACUCAGUGACGCUUUCCUGGCUAAACAAGUGUAACAUUCCCUUAUAAUUCCCUCAGAUAGCUUUUAAUUAAAACAUUUAAAUUAAUGAGGCUUUCCUGGCUAAACAAGUGUAACAUUCCCUUAUAAUUCCCUGAGAUAGCUUUUAAUUAAAACUUUUAAAUGAAAAUUUAACUCACAGCGCCCUAAAGCCUACAGCUAGGCCUAAAGCCUAGACCUAGGCCUCAAACUCUUCCUUCGUAUCGUACCCCCGCGUGUGUGAAAGGGAGUUAAUGUUUAACAAUGUUACAUUCCCUGAUGUUUUUAAAUAGAAACAUUUUCAUUUAAAGCUUUUACAUAAAUAAUUAAAACAUUUAAAUUAAAAAUAAACUCACAGCGGCCUAACGCCUACAGCUAGGCCUAAAGCCUAGAACUAGGCCUCACACUGUCCCUUCGUAUCGUCUGAUUCGGUGUAGCAACAUCGCCCCCUACUGCAAACACUUGGCAGGACCCUACAAAAACCUUUAGACUCAAUGGGGCUUUCCUGGCUAAACAAGUGUAAUAAUACAUUAUGUUUAUAUUCUUUGGUUAUUCGGUCCUACCAGCCCACCCCGCAGGGUCCUGUUGUUAACGAGUCCCAUCGAACACGCCGAUUGGUUGCAGUGCGUGAUGUCACAGCGACCAAGCAACCAAUCAGAGGGAAUUCUAUAAAAUUGGUCGUGAAAGACAAGUAAAAAUAAUAACAAACCUUAUUCACUUUUUAUUAUCCACUUAAUUUACUAUAAACGGUGGACUUGCAAAUCCACCGCUUAGAUUUACUGAAUCCAUCUACUAUUAACACAAGCCUCUACUUUCUGGAUGUUGUGGUGUAUCACGUCUUUUUUCAAAACAGUCCUCAAAUGGUCAUAUACAUACUGUUGGUCACUGUUUGAGUGUUGCAAUGAAUAAUAAUUCAGUACAUUUUGUAUUGGUGCUUUCAUAGCACAAGGCAAGCAACACAAAGUUAGGUGCUGCUGUUUUCCACACAGUCUCCAGUAGUUUCACAGUAGGGGGCAAUGUUGCUUUGUGUUCGAGGUAAGUUUACUAAAAUGGUAAAUUUUCACUAUGAUGCUGGCACUCAUUGGCCUACUAAUUUCAAAUGAUGUCAGUUGAAUCUGAAACCUCCACUGUAAAGCAAACGGCGCGUAGCAGUUCGGGAUUAUAAUGCCUGCAGCGUUAAACAGGGUGGCCUGCCAGAUUUGAACCAUUAAAUAUUUUUCAACAAGUGACUGACAUGCUUCUGCCUGACCGUUUUGCCACCACCCGAUUUAACAAGUGAAAUUCCUCGUGUCUCUCCCAUCUGCCCCUCCUUCCCUCCAGUUAGCCAUGUUUAACUUCUCGGUGCUGCUGACGAUGCUGCUGCUAGUGUGCACAUGCGCGUACGUGCAGGCGCUCUUCCCCUCCAUGCUCGACCACAACAAGACCGGGUGAGCGGAAGAGCGCUUAUGUGGGAGUGGCAUGCAUUGCCAUGGCAUUCAGCAUCCUCUUCCUCCAGUAGCACAGUGCGAAGGGCCAGUCACUACGGCUGGAGGUACAUGCCGUGGCACGCUGGUCAUUGAUGCAGUUUUGGAAGACGGGAAAGCGUAUACGUUGGGAGCAUAUUACAGCACAGCAAUGCAGGUUAUUGUGCUGCCUCCUGCUGGUGUCCAUAGUGCCGCAUCGUCAUCACUUCACACAUUUUUUCAACAUCCCUGCCACAUAAUUCUAUCGUCAUCACUUCACAAUCACAUCAUCAAUCGCGAUGAUGAUGUCAUCAUAAUAUAAAGAACAUUGCAAACAUCA